rnacentral:snRNA from 1 species
AGUUUAGCACAGUGGAGGCAUUGUACCCAAUGAGGUUUAUCAGAGGCACAAUUAUUUCUAAUUGAAAACUCUUCUCAAUGCCCUUCCUUGAGUACUUGAAACACAGAUGCCUGA